rnacentral:other from 1 species
UUUCCCCUACCGUGACCGUGAUGUAGUAAAACUCUUGAGCCUACCAACUUCAAGACAGGGAGCUUGAGACUGGGGAUGGAUAAGAAGCCCCGGCUUCUUCUGAAACUGGGGACCUUGUGAAAUUCCUGCGAAAGCACCCACCUGGUUUUACCAGGUUCAAAGAUUUUACUUCACACGGCGCAAUGGUGGGGGACAU